GAUGAACGCUGGCGGCGUGCCUAAUACAUGCAAGUCGAGCGAACAGAUGAGGAGCUUGCUCCUCUGACGUUAGCGGCGGACGGGUGAGUAACACGUGGAUAACCUACCUAUAAUACUGGGAUAACUUCGGGAAACCGGAGCUAAUACCGGAUAAUAUAUUGAACCGCAUGGUUCAAUAGUGAAAUACGGUUUUUCUGUCUCUUAUAGAUGGAUCCGCGCCGCAUUAGCUAGUUGGUAAGGUAACGGCUUACCAAGGCAACGAUGCGUAGCCGAACUGAGAGGGUGAUCGGCAAAACUGGAAGUGAGACACGGACAAGACUACUACGGGAGGCAGCAGUAGGGAAUAGUCGGCAAUGGGCGAAAGCAUGACGGAGCAACGCCGCGUGAGUGAUGAAGGUCUUCGGAGCGUAAAACUCUGUUAUUAGGGAAGAAAAAAAGUGUAAGUAACUAUGCACGUAUUGACGGUAACUAAACAGAAAGCCACGGCUAACUACGUG
rnacentral:rRNA from 1 species